rnacentral:rRNA from 1 species
AAGCGAUACUCCACGAUCAACCUUACCACCCUUUGCCAUCAGCCUAUAUACCGCCGUCGCCAGCUUACCUUGUGAAAGCCAAAAAGUAAGCGAAAUAGCUCCUACAGCUAGAAAGUCAGGUCCAGGUGUAGCCAAUAAGGUGGGUGCAAUGGGCUACAUUUUCUAAAAUAGAAAUAUUCACGGACAGACCCUUGAAACAGGGACUAAUAAGUCGGAUUUAGCAGUAAUCUAGGAAUAGAAAACCUACAUUAAGCCGGCCCUGGGACAAG